AGAUAAUCAGGAAAGGUAACUGAAAUCUCUUCAUAAAAUACCUUUACUGCUAUUCUGAAGAGUAGAAAUAGUGUAGUUACCUUCUCAGCUUCGUAGAUGCAACUUCAUAGUUAUCCAUUGAUGAUAAUAUUAACAGCAUUUAUGCCCAAUGGAAGGCAUCUUGGUUCAUAUCUAUCAGUAAAGAAACAAAUUGCCAAAUUCAUUCUAUAGACACAAGCUCAAAAGAGCUAUUACCAAUCACUAUGAACACUUAUUUGCAACCAACAUUUACAUAUGCACCCUCACUAAACUGUCAACAACAUUAACCUAACGCUACAAAAGUAUGUAUUAGGUCAAAAUUUAAUGUCAUCGCGGAAAUGAUUCUUGUUGGAUGUCUUGGAGAAAAUGGCUGAGCUUGUCAAUAGUUGCCAGAAUGUCCUAGGAAAGUACCAUCCUACUUAGUUAUGCCUUCAAACAAAAGCUCAAAAUCCACAAAAUUGCAAUGUAUUUAAAACAACGAAAUAAUCACAUACCACAACUUAAGAUGUGCCCGUCACUGGCAGCUAGUACCAUCUUUACUAUCACCAUGGCUUCCUUGAAUUCCAUCUUUUAACUUGCUAUAGGGAGUUAGAGGAGGGAAAGAUGGCACGGCCGGCAAAAUGAAUUUGCGCCCGCUUCUCAACCCCUGCGAACUGCUUGAUCUCAACUCUUGUGAUCGAAUUUGUGGAGGAGACACCCGUUUCUGAUUCGGUGAACUAACUUUCACUGAUUUUGUUGCUGCCAAAGCAUUCUCGAGUAUCUUUCGUGUAUCAUCCUCCAAUAUGUCAUAGAGAAGGUUGUCUGAACUAAUAUCAGGCAGGACCUUACUUCUAUAUAGAUUUGUUGUAGGACUAACGGGUGAAUGGUGACUAUGAGGGUAACCAGCAGAUGACUGGAGGGUCCUUUCCUGAUAUGCAUGAGCUUGGGAAACUUUUGAACCGUCCCCUAUAUUGAGAGAAGCUGAAGUUGCCACAGCCCCUGAAUGACAAUGUGACAGUGGAGUCAGAUGGCUCAUAUCAGCAAGUUCUUCCCACGUUGAAGAUAACUGAUGAGCUCUCCCUGAUUUGAUGAAAUCAUCUUGGGUCUCCAUAGUGCCCAGUUGCUCAUGAGAUGGAUUCUUCCAUUUUUCAGCUCUUCUAUAUAUUGAUUCUAUCUUUUUGCCAAAAGAAUUGUUACAACCUUCACAUCGGCAUCCAUUAGAACAUCCGACUCUUGCCUGAUAACAUUCACAGUAUUUCUUAAGACACUUCGACUUCUUGCAAUUGCAUCCUCUUUUGUGCCUGGCCGAUGAUGGUGUUGUCCAAUUCCCUUCUUCCACAAUAUUUGCAGGAGAGUCCAUGGCAUGCUUAACAACCUUCGGAGCAAAAGCAAGUGGAUUACGGGCUUCAAUUAGUUGUCGUGUAUCAAGAACUGUGUCCUCGUAAUCAGGCCUGUUAAAGCAGUUAUUGCAUGCACAACUGUCCAGACAAUAAACUCCAGCUGCAAAGCACUCACAAUAAAGUUUCAAGCAUUUUGAUCUCUUACAAUUGCAACGUUUGCAGCCCUCACUUUCAUUGAUGCAUUUUGUCCUUUUCCUAUUUCGCUUAGGACUCGCUUGGUCUUCGACCAUGUUGGCGUUUUGUGAAGUGAGUGUCCUCCCAUCAUAUGGAACUACUGUUGUAGCAGCCUGAGUUUCCUGCUGAUCAUCUUCCACUUGAGCAUAAAUUUCCCCGGCAACAGAUGAGACUAAGAUACUAUCCAAAUCCUUUGAUGAACUAUGAUUCCUAACAGCUAUUUGCUUCUCCUCUCGGUCAUGC
rnacentral:misc_RNA from 1 species